rnacentral:rRNA from 1 species
CUAAGAAUAUUCCGCAAUGGGGGGAAUCCUGACGGAGCGACGCCGCGUGGACGAUGAAGGUCGGAAGAUUGUAAAGUCCUUUUAUACAUGAAGAAGAAGUUAUACAGGAAAUGGUAUGAUGGUGACGGUAGUGUAUGAAUAAGCACCGGCUAAUUACGUGCCAGCAGCCGCGGUAACACGUAAGGUGCGAGCGUUGUUCGGAAUUAUUGGGCGUAAAGGGCAUGCAGGCGGUCGUGCAAGCCCGGCGUGAAAGGCGGGGGCUUAACUCCCGAACUGCGCUGGGAACUGUAAGGCUUGAGUUUCUGAAGGGUAGUCGGAAUUCCACGUGUAGGGGUGAAAUCUGUAGAUAUGUGGAAGAACACCAAUGGCGAAGGCAGGCUACCGGCAGAAGACUGACGCUGAGGUGCGAAGGUGCGGGGAGCAAACA